CCUACGGGAGGCAGCAGUAAGGAAUAUUGGGCAAUGGGCGCAAGCCUGAUCCAGCAAUGCCGCGUGCGGGAAGAAGGCCUUCGGGUUGUAAACCGCUUUUGGCAGGAACGAAACGGUGUCCGCUAAUACCGGGCGCUAAUGACGGUACCUGCAGAAUAAGCACCGGCUAACUACGUGCCAGCAGCCGCGGUAAUACGUAGGGUGCGAGCGUUAAUCGGAAUUACUGGGCGUAAAGCGUGCGCAGGCGGUUGUGUAAGACAGGCGUGAAAUCCCUGGGCUCAACCUAGGAAUGGCGCUUGUGACUGCACGGCUGGAGUGCGGCAGAGGGGGAUGGAAUUCCGCGUGUAGCAGUGAAAUGCGUAGAUAUGCGGAGGAACAC
rnacentral:rRNA from 1 species